GAAACCGUGUACGUACAAGCAGUGGGAGCACCCUUUGGGUGUGACUGCGUACCUUUUGUAUAAUGGGUCAGCGACUUAUAUUCUGUAGCAAGGUUAACCGAAUAGGGGAGCCGGAGGGAAACCGAGUCUUAACCGGGCGUUAAGUUGCAGGGUAUAGACCCGAAACCCGGUGAUCUAGCCAUGGGCAGGUUGAAGGUUGGGUAACACUAACUGGAGGACCGAACCGACUAAUGUUGAAAAAUUAGCGGAUGACCUGUGGCUGGGGGUGAAAGGCCAAUCAAACCGGGAGAUAGCUGGUUCUCCCCGAAAGCUAUUUAGGUAGCGCCUCGUGAAUUCAUCUCCGGGGGUAGAGCACUGUUUCGGCUAGGGGGCCAUCCCGGCUUACCAACCCGAUGCAAACUGCGAAUACCGGAGAAUGUUAUCACGGGAGACACACGGCGGGUGCUAACGUCCGUCGUGAAGAGGGAAACAACCCAGACCGCCAGCUAAGGUCCCAAAGUCAUGGUUAAGUGGGAAACGAUGUGGGAAGGCCCAGACAGCCAGGAUGUUGGCUUAGAAGCAGCCAUCAUUUAAAGAAAGCGUAAUAGCUCACUGGUCGAGUCGGCCUGCGCGGAAGAUGUAACGGGGCUAAACCAUGCACCGAAGCUGCGGCAGCGACACUGUGUGUUGUUGGGUAGGGGAGCGUUCUGUAAGCCUGUGAAGGUGUGUCGUGAGGCAUGCUGGAGGUAUCAGAAGUGCGAAUGCUGACAUAAGUAACGAUAAAGCGGGUGAAAAGCCCGCUCGCCGGAAGACCAAGGGUUCCUGUCCAACGUUAAUCGGGGCAGGGUGAGUCGACCCCUAAGGCGAGGCCGAAAGGCGUAGUCGAUGGGAAACGGGUUAAUAUUCCCGUACUUGGUGUUACUGCGAAGGGGGGACGGAGAAGGCUAUGUUGGCCGGGCGACGGUUGUCCCGGUUUAAGCGUGUAGGUGUGUGUUCCAGGUAAAUCCGGUUCACUUUAACACUGAGGCGUGACGACGAGGCACUACGGUGCUGAAGCAACAAAUGCCCUGCUUCCAGGAAAAGCCUCUAAGCAUCAGGUAACAUCAAAUCGUACCCCAAACCGACACAGGUGGUCAGGUAGAGAAUACCAAGGCGCUUGAGAGAACUCGGGUGAAGGAACUAGGCAAAAUGGUGCCGUAACUUCGGGAGAAGGCACGCUGACACGUAGGUGAAGUGAUUUACUCAUGGAGCUGAAGUCAGUCGAAGAUACCAGCUGGCUGCAACUGUUUAUUAAAAACACAGCACUGUGCAAACACGAAAGUGGACGUAUACGGUGUGACGCCUGCCCGGUGCCGGAAGGUUAAUUGAUGGGGUCAGCGCAAGCGAAGCUCCUGAUCGAAGCCCCGGUAAACGGCGGCCGUAACUAUAACGGUCCUAAGGUAGCGAAAUUCCUUGUCGGGUAAGUUCCGACCUGCACGAAUGGCGUAAUGAUGGCCAGGCUGUCUCCACCCGAGACUCAGUGAAAUUGAACUCGCUGUGAAGAUGCAGUGUACCCGCGGCAAGACGGAAAGACCCCGUGAACCUUUACUAUAGCUUGACACUGAACAUUGAGCCUUGAUGUGUAGGAUAGGUGGGAGGCUUUGAAGUGUGGACGCCAGUCUGCAUGGAGCCGACCUUGAAAUACCACCCUUUAAUGUUUGAUGUUCUAACGUGGACCCGUUACCCGGGUUGCGGACAGUGUCUGGUGGGUAGUUUGACUGGGGCGGUCUCCUCCUAAAGAGUAACGGAGGAGCACGAAGGUUGGCUAAUCCUGGUCGGACAUCAGGAGGUUAGUGCAAUGGCAUAAGCCAGCUUGACUGCGAGCGUGACGGCGCGAGCAGGUGCGAAAGCAGGUCAUAGUGAUCCGGUGGUUCUGAAUGGAAGGGCCAUCGCUCAACGGAUAAAAGGUACUCCGGGGAUAACAGGCUGAUACCGCCCAAGAGUUCAUAUCGACGGCGGUGUUUGGCACCUCGAUGUCGGCUCAUCACAUCCUGGGGCUGAAGUAGGUCCCAAGGGUAUGGCUGUUCGCCAUUUAAAGUGGUACGCGAGCUGGGUUUAGAACGUCGUGAGACAGUUCGGUCCCUAUCUGCCGUGGGCGCUGGAGAACUGAGGGGGGCUGCUCCUAGUACGAGAGGACCGGAGUGGACGCAUCACUGGUGUUCGGGUUGUCAUGCCAAUGGCACUGCCCGGUAGCUAAAUGCGGAAGAGAUAAGUGCUGAAAGCAUCUAAGCACGAAACUUGCCCCGA
rnacentral:rRNA from 1 species